AAUCAAGUGAGAUGUAGGGUCAUUUUCUCAUCGACUUUUAUUCAAUAUGACUUCUUUUGCAACCAGUGGAAUCGCCCCCUGCUGGCCAUUAGAAAGAAUGUAGGUUUAAGGUACUUCCGUAUUGGCUUCACUUUUCAGACCCGAAGGUUGCCGCUUGGUUGAAGUGAGCUCUCCUCCAUUUUAAGGUCCUGUAUCUCCAUCCAGAUAGCAGUAAUGGGAGGUCAUGAUUGAGGGGGUGAUCAGUGUCAUUUGCUAUUGUGAGUGCUAGGCGUGUGAUGGCUCUGUGUUUUUUUUUUUUGUUGAGAGGGGUUAACAUGGUGUAGAAGCUGGGGGAACAGCACAAAAGGAUGGGUUGAAUUAUGCUUUUAUAAAGCAACAGCAGGAGGUGUGUGGCAACAGACAGUGCUCUGAGUUUGCAGAUAACAUGGAAUCUUUGCUGGGAUUGUUUAUGGAUAGAAGUGAUGUGUUGAGUUUAUUGUCUGUCCACCUCAUUCCUAGCUCCCAUGAUACCUUGCGUGAAUUAUGGGCGUGACUUCUGGUGCGUCCUAUCAUUGAACCGGAACCGGCGUUUUCCACGGUAACGGUCAUAAACAGUCGUAUGGUAGCGGUACACUAAUCUUCUUUCUAGAGAGAUUGGGAAAUAAAACAUGUGGGAACACAACUUCUUCUACCUUAAAGCAGACAUAAAUCCUAGUCAGAGCCUUAAAGUCCCACAUCACUGACCUGGGUUUUAUUUUCAACGUCAAGUGAGAUACAAACGGCUGGGUGCUCAUGUGUGUCUGGACCAGGGCGAUCUUGCAGCCACGCAGCUGCAGUACUUUAGAGGCUAAGAAUCUUACCCAUCAAUUGGCGUCACUGGAACAACAACAGAGCCGGCGAACAGUCACAGUGUGGAUCAUUGGUGACAGCUAUGUCCAGCGUGGUGGCCAGAGAGGCUGCAGAGACCAUGGGAAGCAACCUCAGCGUGAUGGAUGUCCGUGUCUGUUGGUUAGGCUGGGGUGGACUGCGGUAGAAAGACCUUCCUACCUUCUUUUCCCAGUCCCUGCGACAAAGAGCAACACCGAAAGUCCUCCUCAUCCACUGUGGCAGCAACAUGGGGGAGGUCAGCAGUGUCAAGCUGGUCAAUGUGAUGGAGGAGGACCUGCACCAGCUUCACCUGGCACCCUGGUAUGAAGGUCAUGUUUUCUUCUGUGACCCAAAAGGUGCCGGUGGAAGGCUGGUGCCAAUCUGGUGAAGCUCGACAAGGUCAGGAAAUCUGUCAACAGUGUUAUAGCUACAAAAAAAUGCUUAAAUGGUGUUAUGAUUUAGCACCCUCACAUUACACAUAAAAGUCCUGGGCUAUUUUUGAAAGAUAGAGUUCAUUUCACACUUAGAGGAAAUUAUAAGUUCUUAAGUACGGCAGCUAAUUGCCUUAAAGACCAUCUCCAAAUGCAGUGAAUUGCUUAUAGUGUCACUGCUUUUGAAUUUGGCCUUUAGGACCCAUUUUGUCACACCUAAACAUAGCCCUGACUGUUAAGGCUAAUGUUGAGUUUAUUUUUUAUGUUCAUUAUGGUUGUUAAAUAUCAUCUGUAGCCAUAACACUACCACCUCUGAUCUUCCUCAUCCCUACAAUCACACCCUUGCAUAUCAUAUCUUGCAUUCAUAAAAACAUCAAUAUUAAAAGGUCGCAAAUUUACAAGUUGUUUUUUAUGACUUAUGUACACUUGAAAUAAACGAAAAGAUGUGUAACAGCAAUUAUAAUGAUAGAACCAAAGCAUAAUAACCCAGUGUCAUAAUUUGGCAAAAUCUCAAUGUCUUGUGAAACAAGUGAUGCCUUCAACCCCUUUACCAUGGAGUACAGAUCACACUGGCCUAGGCAUUCUAACUUUCCUCAAGGGUCUGUCAUAACCUGGCCCAUAGGCCAUGACAAAAAUGGGAAAAGACACAAAAUGCAAUACAUACAAGUUAUUUAUUGUAAUAAAGAAAAUAAACUGAACUGUAACUUUGGA